UUUCCGUAGGUGAACCUGCGGAAGGAUCAUUAUUGUAUAACCGAGGUGCGAGGGCUGUCGCUGACCCGAAAGGUCGUGCACGCCCGAGUGCCCUCACACACAUCCAUCUCACCCCUAUGUGCACCACCGCGUGGGUCCCCCUUUGGCUUGUUCGGAGGGGGGCUUACGUUUUCACACAAACUUUGUAUGCAGUGUAGAAUGUAUUUUUUGUUCUUGCGAUCACGCAAUCAAUACAACUUUCAACAACGGAUCUCUUGGCUCCCACAUCGAUGAAGAACGCAGC
rnacentral:misc_RNA from 1 species